ACCUUGGGUAACCUGCCUGUAAGACUGGGAUAACUCCGGGAAACCGGGGCUAAUACCGGAUGCUUGUUUGAACCGCAUGGUUCAAACAUAAAAGGUGGCUUCGGCUACCACUUACAGAUGGACCCGCGGCGCAUUAGCUAGUUGGUGAGGUAAUGGCUCACCAAGGCAACGAUGCGUAGCCGACCUGAGAGGGUGAUCGGCCACACUGGGACUGAGACACGGCCCAGACUCCUACGGGAGGCAGCAGUAGGGAAUCUUCCGCAAUGGACGAAAGUCUGACGGAGCAACGCCGCGUGAGUGAUGAAGGUUUUCGGAUCGUAAAGCUCUGUUGUUAGGGAAGAACAAGUACCGUUCGAAUAGGGCGGUACCUUGACGGUACCUAACCAGAAAGCCACGGCUAACUACGUGCCAGCAGCCGCGGUAAUACGUAGGUGGCAAGCGUUGUCCGGAAUUAUUGGGCGUAAAGGGCUCGCAGGCGGUUCCUUAAGUCUGAUGUGAAAGCCCCCGGCUCAACCGGGGAGGGUCAUUGGAAACUGGGGAACUUGAGUGCAGAAGAGGAGAGUGGAAUUCCACGUGUAGCGGUGAAAUGCGUAGAGAUGUGGAGGAACACCAGUGGCGAAGGCGACUCUCUGGUCUGUAACUGACGCUGAGGAGCGAAAGCGUGGGGAGCGAACAGGAUUAGAUACCCUGGUAGUCCACGCCGUAAACGAUGAGUGCUAAGUGUUAGGGGGUUUCCGCCCCUUAGUGCUGCAGCUAACGCAUUAAGCACUCCGCCUGGGGAGUACGGUCGCAAGAC
rnacentral:rRNA from 1 species